UACGUAGGGUGCAAGCGUUGUCCGGAAUUAUUGGGCGUAAAGAGCUCGUAGGCGGUCAGUCGCGUCUGCUGUGAAAACUCGGGGCUUAACUCCGGGCCUGCAGUGGGUACGGGCUGACUAGAGUGCGGUAGGGGAGACUGGAAUUCCUGGUGUAGCGGUGAAAUGCGCAGAUAUCAGGAGGGACACCGGUGGCGAAGGCGGGUCUCUGGGCCGUAACUGGCGCUGAGGAGCGAAAGCGUGGGGAGCGAACAGG
rnacentral:rRNA from 1 species